UACGUAGGUGGCAAGCGUUACUCGGAAUCACUAGGCGUAAAGCGCGGGUAGGCGGUUGGGUAAGUCUCUUGUGAAAGCUCCCGGCUUAACUGGGAGAGGUCAAGGGAAACUACCUGGCUAGAGUGCGGUAGAGGAAGCUGGAAUUCCUGGUGUAGCGGUGAAAUGCGCAGAUAUCAGGAGGAACACCGGUGGCGAAGGCGGGUCUCUGGGCCGAUACUGACGCUGAGGAGCGAAAGCGUGGGGAGCGAACAGG
rnacentral:rRNA from 1 species